CCACUAAGGCGGGUCUGAGGCACUGGGGACCAAGCUGAAGUUACCCUUUGCCAUGCUUAGCUUAGACCCCAGUUUGAACAGCAACUCAAUUGACCAUUAUCUGGCACCUACUAUGCACAAAGCAUGAUGCUGGUCACACUCAACAUCCUCCGUUCCUCUCUACUGAAAUUUCAGGAGUGAAGUUUCCCACCUUAAAUGAUUCCCAAGGAGUCGUGUCCAGCCUGGCCUCCCAGAUUUGAGCAAUCUUUCACUGUCAAGAAAGGCUGGGAGAUUGAUUCAAUUAAGAUUAGCAGAGUCGGAAAAAUGGCGUGGAGUGCUGGGAUUACAGGCAUGAGCCACUGCACCUGGCCUAGGAAUCCCAGUCUUUAAGAGGCUGCCAUAUGAGGACACAGCAAGAAGACACCAACUACAAGAGGAGAAGAAAAGACUUCAACAGAAACCAACCCUGCUAGCACCUUGAUCUCUGGCUUCCAGCCUCCAGCACCAUGAGAAAAUAAAUUUCUAUGUUUGAAGCCUC